UAUUCUCUUCGAGCACCGGGCAGUGGCGAGCGGCGGCACCCAUGCUUUGGUCGGCCAUGCCAGUGUCGCCGAUGGAUCCUGCUUAUCUCAGGCGGCACCACGCAUAUGGCUGCUUCUACUGGGACUCCACCAAUAUCAAGAGGAAAGAGUUGCUCGUGCUUAACAUCCAGAGGAUGGAGUUCUCCAUCGCCGAGCUCCCAUCCUCUGGCUGGGGCGCGCUAGGCGUGGCCAUUGUGGAGGCAGGGCAAGGCAUGCUUGGGCUGUUUGGGAUCCGUGAUGGAGCCGCAGGUGGCAGCAAACAUGACCUCUGCUAUAGCGUUAGGCACAACAAAGGCAAGAAUUCCGGUCAGUGGCAGAUGGUGAAGACCUUCUCACUAGGUCCUGAGGGCCUGCAUUAUCUCAAAGCGGCAACAGAGAGGUGUGUGCUCCUGAUAUGUUCUGAAGCCCCACGGCUCGUUGGCUUGUCUAUGGUGAUGCCAGACUUGUUGGAGUAUAUCUCGGUGGACGUCAAGAAGUUGCAGCUUGAGAGGGUCUGUGUCAAGCCUUUCGGGAAGUCCUUGUCCAGGACGCGCAUAUAUGCCCACUUCCCGCCAUCGCUGUCUUCGCCGACGAUAUGAAGUGAUUCAAGGGAGCCGUAAUCAGAUCAGCAUUCUCAAUUCAAGAUGACUGGGAUUUCAGUAGCACGAUGGUUCGGUGGACGUCAUCAGCUUUGCCUACAGGAUGACGCUAUCCACAUUGCUUUGCCUGGUCAUGUCUAUGCUUUGGUUAAUUACAAUAGCAUCAAUAUGGAGAUUUUCUUGGUCUGAGUGUGGCAGUGCUCAUGUCUAUCUUGUGUUCUUCCUUUGAUACCUAAGAAUUUUGCAUUUUAAAUUAACGGUCCUGAUCAAUCAAGAACUGUAGUAAAUCCACUUUUAUUAUUUA